rnacentral:ncRNA from 1 species
AUUAUUACUGUGAAGAGGAAUAGUAAGUAUAUUUAAUUUCUUUUAGAAAGGGAAUGGGUGAUGAAAAUUCCUAGAAAUUGUGUGCUGAACCAGCCUUGGAGUUCUGUACCGAAAUGAUAGUAGGCUACAGCAGGUAUUCCUGUUAUAGAUAAGAGAGAUUAUAAAAUUAUUACGUGUAAUUUUAUAAUAACUAGGGUGGUAACGCCAGAAAUGGUCCCUUUA